CCUACGGGUGACAGCAGUAGGGAAUAUUGCUCAAUGGGGGAAACACUGAAGCAGCAACGCCGCGUGGCGGAUGAAGGUUCUCUGAUUGUACACUCCUUUUGUUAGAGAAGAUAAUGACGGUAUCUAACGAAUAAGCACCGGCUAACUCCGUGCCAGCAGCCGCGGUAAUACGGAGGGUGCAAGCGUUAUUCGGAAUCACUGGGCGUAAAGAGCGCGUAGGCGGGAUAACAAGUCAGAUGUUAAAUCCUUGGGCUUAACCAUAGAACUGCAGUUGAAACUGUUAUGCUAGAGUACGGGAGAGGUAGGCGGAAUUCGUGGUGUAGCGGUGAAAUGCGUAGAGAUCAAGAGGAAUACUGAUUGCGAAGGCGACCUGCUGGAACAUAACUGACGCUGAUGCUCGAAAGCGUGGGGAGCAAACAGGAUUAGAUACCCCAGUAGUC
rnacentral:rRNA from 1 species